AUUGAACGCUGGCGGCAGGCCUAACACAUGCAAGUCGAGCGGAUGAAGGGAGCUUGCUCCUGGAUUCAGCGGCGGACGGGUGAGUAAUGCCUAGGAAUCUGCCUGGUAGUGGGGGAUAACGUCCGGAAACGGGCGCUAAUACCGCAUACGUCCUGAGGGAGAAAGUGGGGGAUCUUCGGACCUCACGCUAUCAGAUGAGCCUAGGUCGGAUUAGCUAGUUGGUGGGGUAAAGGCCUACCAAGGCGACGAUCCGUAACUGGUCUGAGAGGAUGAUCAGUCACACUGGAACUGGGACAGGGUCCAUAGUACUAAGGGAGGCAGCAGUGGGGAAUAUUGGACAAUGGGCGAAAGCCUUGUCCAGCCAUGCCGAGUGUGUGAAGAAGGUCUUCGGAGUGUAAAGCACUUUAAGUUGGGAGGAAGGGCAGUAAGUUAAUACCUUGCUGUUUUGACGUUACCAACAGAAGAAGCACCGGCUAACUUCGUG
rnacentral:rRNA from 1 species